rnacentral:snRNA from 1 species
AUACCUUCUAAAGCAUCAAGUGUGGUAUUUGUUCUUAUCAGUUUAAUAUCUGAUAUGUGAACAUAGUUCACAUGAUAUUAAAUUAAUGUUUUGAGGGAGAGGGUCAAUGCAGUAGCUUGCUAUUGAGACUCUUGCUUUGCACUUCUGCAAGGGUCUGG